GGCCCCAUCGUCUAGAGGCCUAGGACGUCAGGUUCUCAUCCUGGAAACACCAGUUCAAAUCUGGUUGGGGCCG
rnacentral:tRNA from 1 species